UACGUAGGGUGCGAGCGUUAAUCGGAAUUACUGGGCGUAAAGCGCGCGUAGGCGGUCUGUUAAGUGGGAUGUGAAAUCCCCGGGCUUAACCUGGGAAUUGCAUUUCAAACUGGCCGACUAGAGUACGGUAGAGGGAGGUAGAAUUUCCUGUGUAGCGGUGAAAUGCGUAGAUAUAGGAAGGAAUACCAGUGGCGAAGGCGGCCUCCUGGAUCGAUACUGACGCUGAGGCGCGAAAGCGUGGGGAGCAAACAGG
rnacentral:rRNA from 1 species